rnacentral:rRNA from 1 species
GACGAACGCUGGCGGCGUGCUUAACACAUGCAAGUCGAACGGAAAGGCCCUGCUUGCAGGGUGCUCGAGUGGCGAACGGGUGAGUAACACGUGGGUGAUCUGCCCCUUAUUUUGGGAUAAGCCUGGGAAACUGGGUCUAAUACUGGAUAGGACCAUGCUGUAGGUGGUGUGGUGGAAAGAUUAGUUUCGGUAAGGGAUGAGCUCGCGGCCUAUCAGCUUGUUGGUGGGGUAAUGGCCUACCAAGGCGUCGACGGGUAGCCGGCCUGAGAGGGUGGACGGCCACGUUGGGACUGAGAUGCGGGCCAGCCUCGUGCGAGAGGCAGCAGUGGGGAAUAUUGCACAAUGGGCGCAAGGCUGGUGCGGCGACGGCGCGUGGGGGAUGACGGCCUUCGGGUUGUAAACACCUUUCAGCCAUGACGAAGCCCUUGUGGUGACGGUAGUGGUAGAAGAAGCACCGGCUAACUACGUG